rnacentral:rRNA from 1 species
UACGUAGGCAGCAAGCGUUUUUUUGUUCGGAGUUACUGGGCGUAAAGGGUGUGUAGGCGGUUGGAUAAGUGUGGUGUGAAAUCUCCCGGGCUCAACUGGGAGGGUGCGCUACAAACUGUCUGACUAGAGUGUGGGAUGGGGUAAGUGGAAUUCCUGGUGUAGCGGUGAAAUGCGUAGAUAUCAGGAGGAACACCGGUGGUGUAGACGGCUUCUGGACCAUAACUACGUGAGACA